GACUCCUACGGGAGGCAGCAGUGGGGAAUAUUGCACAAUGGGCGCAAGCCUGAUGCAGCCAUGCCGCGUGUAUGAAGAAGGCCUUCGGGUUGUAAAGUACUUUCAGUCGUGAGGAAAGUGUUAAGGUUAAUAACCUUAGCAAUUGACGUUAGCGAUAGAAGAAGCACCGGCUAACUCCGUGCCAGCAGCCGCGGUAAUACGG
rnacentral:rRNA from 1 species